rnacentral:lncRNA from 1 species
CACCGCUCCCCCGCCCCACCACCUUCCCACCCUCAACGCGGGCGCCCCACCGGUGACAGCCUCAGGGCCUGACGCAUGGACGCAUCUCCAGGCAGCCCGCCCCCUGGCAACAUCCGUCACCUGACACGGCCCUACCAGGAACCGCCGGGCUCCCGCGGGUCCGGUCCUGCUGGGUGCCGCUCCGGGCUCCCUUCCUUUAUCCCUCGCGCCCAGCUUCAAGAGUCCUCCUUUUUUUCCAAAUCAGAUUAUUUAAAAGAGAAAAAAAGAAAGAAAGAAAAACUAGGCCAGCUCUUUGCUCUAUCGGCCAAUCAGGAGGCUGAAUGUCAGUUUUGAAAGAAAAUGCCGCUCCGUCCGUUCGGUUUCUAGAUUUGGGAAAACAGCGAAAUUAAAAGAAACCGCUGCACGCACCGACACGACAUCUGGAUACUGAAGGCCGGGCUCGGGACCAGGUAGGUGGAGCCAAUGCCCGGGUCCAGGCUGAGUACGGCUCCCCUUCCCCUACCAGCACUGGAUGUCGCCUAAGUUACCGGACUAGGGUGAGCACCGAAUCCGCUUCAUCUAGGCCAUUUUUAUUUUCGGUUUUGGCUUCAAGAUACAGUGGAGAAUCUGAGCGCUUCUUCCUCUUUCCUCCUCCCGCACUCCCCUCCCCCAGGGGCCUCUCGCUUUCGCUCGGGCACCCGAGAGGACUGCAGCGUGGCGCGGACUGCAGCGUUCAGCUGCCGCCGCCUCCUCCGCCCUGCGCUCCGCCACCCUGGUCUCCCGCCGCCUGACAACUCUGCGCGCUGGCUGUCCCCUCCGCCCUCUCUUUCCUUCCACACCACUGAUUCUUUCAUUUUAGAGAGCCUCCCUCCUUUCUCCUCCGCGGUGGUCCAUUCGGAACAGGAAAAGCGGGGGAAGGAAAGGAAGGAGCCGCAGAAAGACGGGGUGAGUCCAGGACACCGAGCGGCCUGAGGAUACGGAGAAGCCGCCGUGUCCUAGAGCGCACUUUGGCGAGUCUGUGUUCGGGGUCUGGAGCUCGGAGGCGGGCUCGGCGACUCUCUGAAAGCGGGAAGUCGAGCCCAGGACGCGGCUUUCAGGCGCGCGGCGCUGACCGGGUGACCGACUUCCUGGGCCUGCGGUCCCUCUGGAUCUGUCCAGAGCCUCUUAGGCAAGAACCGCGGCCUGGACGACCCAAAGUGUGCAAGAGCUUGUGGGACUAGGCCCAGCUUUCUACGCCUGGAAAUGUGGCCCGCCUCGCAGCGGCUGCCCUCCCGUUCAUGGGUUCGGGCCUAGCAGCCUGGCAAGUGGAACCAUUUCUACUUUAGAGAAAGAACUCACAGGUCCUUAUGUAUCAGCCACCAAAUCCCUUCACUUUAAGAAGGAGGAAAGUGGGGCCUGGGAUGGCCAAGCCACCCAUCUAAAGCUGUUCUGUAACUGAAAGACCAAAGCGGAGCAGCGGGGUGCUUUCCUUUCCCAUUCCCCGGUCCUGUCACGUGACAUUGAUGGUGAAGCUGUCCCCCGGUCUGAAGAUCCAGCCGGUCCGAUGAAGUAAGACUUAACGGUUGCUCUUAAAUUCUAGAUUUCACAAAGGCACUUUUCCGGUAGGAUUCACUCAUCAUUUACCUACAACCUUGCUCAGAGCAGGAGCUACUUGCCUCCUUCUGUCUGAAAUGAAUGUUCUCUCUUCUCAAGCCUGGCUCCUUUCCGUUCAGGUCUCUUAUUCAGCAUCUCAGCUAAGAAACGCCUUCCCUUUAGGGCACCCGCACACCACGGCAGCCCCACCCUCCUUACAGUACUUAAGUGUGCGAAAGUUACCUUAAUUAAGUAUUUGUUUGUUGUGUCGGUCUCACAGUAGAAUGUAAACUUGGUGAAAACCAGACCCUGGUUUACCUCCUGCACCUAUGACACCAUUCUCUUCAAAAAACUUCAUGGGAGAGAGGGACUCUGAGGGAUCGCCCAGGAAGGGCACUUUAGAAAGGGGUAGGUCAGAGAAAUAACUCCUCUGCAGGAAAAAUGCUGCUGAAUUCAGCAUAGGAUUUAAGGAUUCUAGAAGAAUGAAGGAGUGAAGAGUUUCUCGGGCCCAGACAAAGUGAUUAGCUGGGGUAACAAAUCUCGGUGGGGAAAGGAGAGAAGGCCCUGAUUCAUUUCUUGAAAUUGUUAUUUAUAGUAGCCAGUGUUCUUCAGAGAAACAGAACCUCUAGGGUAGCAUAGGAUAGGUAAGAAACUUAUUUUAAGGAUCGAUUCAGGAAAUGGCGGGGCUGGCAAGUUGCUAAUUUGCAGGCAGCCUGGAAACCCAGGAAAGAGUGGGUUUUGCAGGCUUGAGGCACCUCAGACUUUUCUCUUAAAUCCUUCAGUUGGUUGGAUGAGACCCAUUCAGUUUAUGGGCUGUAUAUGCUUUAUUCAAAGUCUACUGACUGAAAUGUUGAUUACAUCUAAAAGAUACCUUCACAGCCACAUUUAGACUGGUGCUUUCCCCACCCCCCCACCCCCCCAAACUGGGUACUACAGCAAUGCCAAGUUGACAUAUAUAAUUCACCAUCAUAUUAUCUUGUUGUGCUUGUUUGGCUCAAUUUCUUAGCCAAAUUUUAAUUCAGGGAUCUGUCUGUAUUUAUUGGACCUGUAUAGCUUAAACUGUUUUCUUUCUAUGGAAAUUUGUCCAGGAGAAAAGAGCAGUUGCCCUAUUCAGAGGAAUGCCAUUUGAGUAAGAAGAUGAUUAUAGGGCUGGGGCUAUAGCUCAGUUGGUAGAGUGUUUGCCUCACAUGCACAAGGCCCUGAGUUCAAUUCAAUUCCCAGCAACACACACACACACACACACACACACACACACACACACACAUUGUAUAGUAGGUUCUCUGUUCAAAGAAUUUUUUUUUUUAAAUUGAACUUUUAAAUUCCAUUUUGUUUUCUCCUUGCUGUCUAGCACCUGUUCUCUAUCAGUUUUGGUGUGGAGAGAAAUUCUAAUUUUAAUUUGUCUAAGCAAAAUGUAAUUAUAAAGGUGAUUUUCUAGUAAAACAACUAAUAGAAUAUGUAAGGAACUUUUGGUUAGGUUAUGUGCUUUUCAAAAAAUUAACAACUAGGAGUUGAAAAGUAUUAUGUACUUGUGCUUGAAUCACUUGCUUUUUCUUUAUAGUGGCCCUUUGAAUUUUGGAUUAUUUAUAAUCCUACAGGUGAAAAUAUUAAUGUCCAGACAGGCUCAAAUCAUGGACAUUACAUGGCCAGCAAGUGUGAGAACUGGAACCAUUAGGAAGGUCUUAAAAACAACAACAACAAAAACUUUUUGUAGUGGUACUGGGGAUUGAACCCAAGGUCUCAAGCACACUACACAAGCAUCCUACCACUGACCUACAUCCCCAGCUCUCCCCCCCCCCCUUUUUAAAAAAAUUUGAGACAUAAUUACUAAAUUGUUCAGUCCUCAAACUUGCAAUCUUCCUAUCCUCCUGCCUCCGCCUCCCAAGUAGCUGGGGUUAUAGGCAUUUACCACUGCACCAGCUUCAGGAAGAUUUUUAGACUUCUGGUCUUUCUGUUUUCCCAAAGACCUGAUUCAACAGCGAGUGAGUUGAUUGUGAAUCACUUAUGCAGGCAGUUACUGAAUGUGGGAACUUUUCUCUGCUAUCUUCCACUGGCCUAAAAAUCUGGCAGGCACUUUUCUGAGUCUUUUAAUAAAGGAAAAGAAUGUUCUAUUUGGAUCAGUACCUCUCAGGCAGGGAUAGGAGAGGAAAAGCUUAUUGUGCAUUCCUUGUCCUGUUUUCCUGCCCCUAUGACUCUUGAUUAGCACAACUUCAUGAGAAAUUUUCUCCAUGUCACAUAUGCUCAAAUCCCAAUCCCAAAGGCACAAGAGACACUAUAGGCAAUAUUUAAAAUCAAUUUUUUGAUCAUACAUGACAAAAGAGUAAUUUCUAAAAUAUAUGAAUAAACACAUAAACCAAUAAAAAUAUAACCCAGUUAAAAAACAGACAAAGUUAUGAGGCAGUUUAUAGUUUAUAUACACAUAGUCAAAAAAUAAAUGAAAGAUACUCAAUCUCACAUGUAAAUACAUGUAAACAAAACCAAAUUUGUAUAAUUACAAGUCUGGCAAAAAGAAAAUGGAAUUGCAAAGUUGUUAGGAAACAGUCACUCUUUUAACUAUUAUAACUUCAUGUAAUUGUUUUGAAAGGUAACUUUAUUGUAUCAAUCAAAAUUAUAUGUGCAUUUAUGCUCCUGUAUGUGCUUAUAUGUUCCCUCUGACUCACCUUUUCCAUUCUUAUGAUUCAUAAAAUAAUGCAAAUGUACACAGAUAAUGUGUAGAAAUAUACUUGUAUACACAUGCACUAUAUAAAUAUGUGUAUAUAUAUAUAUGCUAUAUAUGGUAUAUCUACAAGUAUGGGAAAUAUGUUGUAUACAUGUUUGUAUGAACAUACACACAUAUGUGUAUAUAUAGACAUGUAUAUGUCUUAACAAGUGACUUAGCAAUAAGUCAUAUAGAUAUGAAAAGCAUAUAUAACAUAUAUGUAUUCAUAUCUAAAAGUAUGGCUAUAUAUAUAUGUACACACAAACAUAAGUAUGGAAAGAUUACAAACACAUGCAACAUACUUGUACAGA